ACAGGAAGGGGACAUCAGUGCUCAGAGGGGCACGAGAAUUCAUAGAAAAGCUGAGGGAGCUGAGGUUAUUACAAAAUCUCAACUCUGGUUCCCUGUGCCUGAGAAAAACGGCCUAAACAAAGCACAGGUGAGGGUUUGUGGUGGCCUCCCGUCUGGGGAUCCAAGGCAUUCUGCCUCCUUGGAAGUUCUUGGCCUCUCGGCACUCCCAGUCGAUGGAGGUGUUGUCAGUGGACAAAGAUGAACAUUCCAGAAGAAAAGGCUUGAAACCAGCAGGCAUCAGAGAGAGCUCACAGCUGCUAAGAAGCUGGAGGCAUCCGGGCUGGUCUCUGCCCACCCCCACAACUGUUAGGCCACAGAUGCGGCAGGCAGGGCUGAGCAGCCCGGGUGGGGAGAAAGGGCAGAAGAGGAUUAUGGGAGGUCCCUGGGGAAACCUCAGGCAGAUUGAGGACGUUGCCCCCCACCAGCCCCCUCUCCAGGCUCAGAGGCGGUCAGAGUAGAGGCACACAGUGCUUGUCUGGGGCAGGUGGGCUUUAGCGCACACACUUUCAGGCCUUCAUUAAGAUUCAUCCUCCCCCGUGACCUGUCUCCUGGGUCCUGACCUGCAGCCCAGGGGUAGGGGGGGGUUCCCCUUCUGUGGGGCUGCCCCAAGGCCCUUGCUGAGAGGCUAGGCACACCAGGCCUGUGUUAAGACUUGCCAAACUGCACCAGGAUCGCAGUAUCCAUUGUGGGAGGCGGAGAUUUUGCCCAGAUAAUUCUCUCUCCUUUCCAGCCCCAAUCCUAGCCCUGGCCUGGAGCCUUCCAGCCCCUACAGGCUGGGGUAGGAGAUGGGAUGGGUGGUACUGCCUGAAGGCAGAGAGGCCUACAGGUUGGUCCCCAGACCCCUAACGCCCUCGUGGUCUCUGGCUUGGGAAAGCCACGUAUGAAUAAACAUAGCUCAAUGAUACCAUCCAA
rnacentral:lncRNA from 1 species